rfam:Rhodoferax ferrireducens T118, complete genome.
GAAGCCCGCCAGACUGCCGCUGGUGCAAGCCGCAAGGACGACGCGCAAGCGUCGGGUGGAAACACCGCACUGGAGGAACGUCCGGACUGCAUAGGGCAGCGUAGCAGCUAACGGCUGUCCACUGAAAUGCGUGCACGCAAGUGCGCGUUAUAAGGUGAGGAUCAGAGCAACAGAGACGAGCCGAUUAAGUUCGGGUGAAACGGGCAAUCUCUACGCGCAGCAAUACCAAGUAGGCCAGCGUUGAUGGGGCCCCCAGAGCUGGCGGGUAGGUAGCACCGAGCGGUUGGGUGACCAACCGCCCAGAUUAAUGGCAGUCACAGGGUGGGCAACCAUCCUGCACAGAAUCCGGCUUAUCGGUGGGCUUCACAC